UACGUAGGGUGCAAGCGUUAAUCGGAAUUACUGGGCGUAAAGCGUGCGCAGGCGGUUGUGCAAGACAGAUGUGAAAUCCCCGGGCUCAACCUGGGAAUUGCAUUUGUGACUGCACGGCUAGAGUGUGUCAGAGGGGGGUAGAAUUCCACGUGUAGCAGUGAAAUGCGUAGAGAUGUGGAGGAAUACCGAUGGCGAAGGCAGCACCCUGGGAUAACACUGACGCUCAUGCACGAAAGCGUGGGGAGCAAACAGG
rnacentral:rRNA from 1 species